rnacentral:rRNA from 1 species
AUGUUUCAGUUGGAUGUUGAAUUACCCCAUCAAGAGAAGCUGAACAAAGAAGAGUGUUGUGGUGUUGGCAAAGUCAAAUUUCGCGGCGCCUGCUUCAAACCACACUGGCACCUCUACAGCCAUUUUUGGGAAAUCAAGCGUCCGCACUAUGGUUUCUAUAAAACUGAGAGGAUAUUCAUUUUACCGGCGCUGGCAAGGAGGUCAAGAAGGGAGCAACUUCCAUUGGUUCCAAGGAUGCCGGCGACCCCUGCCAUGGCAAACCGGCAGUGGACGAGCUCGGCCUGGACGUACCACUUCAAGGCCUCAGGCUGCUCCCCGAGCCCCAAGGGACCAAACCCGUAA